UAUUAUUAUCGUUAUUUCUUCUACGUUUUUAGCACUUCUUCCCUCAAGGGCCCUCAACGUUUUAACUCCCAACAGGUUCCCUGCUUUCAAUUACUAUGCUUUAUCCUUUUGUCUUCCCCUCAAUGUUUUUAAUGCCUUAUUUCAAGUAUUACGUGGAGCAAAAUUUUAUGCAAUGAUUCAUAGCACUUCACCUUGGUAAAAAUGUGGCACUUAAUGGGAAUCUUGAAAAUUGGUUUCCUUAUUAUUUGGCAGGUGAUAGAAUGUAAUGUGAAGUUCUAUUAUGUGGAGUAAAAUUUUAUUUAAUGAUUCAUAGCACUUCACCUUAGUAUAAAUCUAGCACUUCAUGGGAAUCUUGAAAAGUGGUUCCCUAUUAUUGGAAGGUUGAUAGAAUGUAAUUUGAAGUUCUAUUACUUGAGAACAUUUGCAGAGAUGAGUUCAGGUGAUAGAAUGUAAUGUGGUUUCCUUGUGCUAUGGCUAGUACAGGAAGCCUACUUUGCAAUAGAUAAGUGUAAAUCCAUGAGCUAAAAUACACAAUGUCUAAAUAUUUGUUUGAAUAUAAAGGAGGUGAUAUGCUUAUUGUUAAGUUCAAAA